GGAUGGGAUUUACUUCUAUCUGGGAGGUGGGGUGAUUUAAACGUAACGUUAACAUUGCCUGCCCUGGUUAUUUUAAUCCAGUCCUCAGGUCAUAUUUCAGGAGAGCAAGACCCCAUUGUAAGUUAGCUAAUGUUAGCUAACUGUGUACUCUGUCUGCUGGAUUAACGCAGCCAAAACGGCUUGUUUUUUUACAUUUUUCGUAGCUAUUUCAUCACUAAAUUCACUUCUGAACAUUUUUGAGGCGAGAAAUAAACUGUCGAUUUUGAAUAUUGACUGUUUUACAAUAUUAGAUGCCAAAUCGAACAUUUGCUCCACCGUUGUCGGAGUUUAAAAGCUCCACAAACUGCCGCGACAGCUAGCCAACGCCUGCCGGGGUUGCUACCUCACCAGCUGGGCAGUCAUGCUCACAGAGAGGCUACAGAGCAGCAGAGGGGUGAGGGAAAGAGCAGCCUCUGACGGAUGUUGGCAAUUCAUUAAUUUCCAAUUACAAGACAAAGGAUGAAGCCAUUUUUAGCUUGUUGUCAUAUUGUUGUUUCCCAGGGAGAAUGAUGAUGUAUGGUAGCGAACGUUGUAGCUCUUGUAAAAUAAGGAUCAGAGACUGUGACAAAACCUGACAGUGACUGCAUCACCACAAACACGACAGUCUAUGUGAAACUGGAUAAUAAUUGACUUUAAGGAUGUUCCAUAUAAUAGAGUUUCUGGAGAACAAAACUGUAGCAGUGGUGCCAGAAAACUGGUCACUGACGGUGUCACCUUUUGGCCAAACUACAAAAAUGAUGAAAGAGUCAACAGGGCAGUAAGGAAAGCUGAGGAGCCUGGACCUGACUGGCAGAGCUACGAUGUCAGAGUUGUUAAGUCAUGUGAUCAUUACUUUGAUGGCACGUCAUCUCUUAAAAAAAUCCCUGACGUGCAACACAUCAGAUUUACAGUCAGAAGAGGAAGAGGAGGAAGUUCAGUCAAAGAGAAGGCCAAAGCCGAUUCAUUUCUUUGGGGACUCCGAUGAUGACAGUGAGGAGGAAAGUCCUCUAAAAAAGAGAGCCAGAGGUCCAGCCAAACCCUCACCACAGCCACCAGCUCCCAUUAUCCCACCCCCACCUCGCUGUGUGCCAAGUAGCGUGACAGUUGCCCUUCCUCCACCCGUUGCUCCUCCUUCACCCACUCCACCAGCAGUAGAGCAAACCCCUUCUUCAAGCCAGGUCUACAGACCUACCUGGCGAGGGUGAAGGUGUGGAUCAGACACCAUGACCUGUUCGGCGGCAGAAGUCCAUAUUAUGAGCUUACUGGAGUAUAUAAAACACCAGCAAGAGCAAUUAAUUGCCAAAGUGAACUAUCUGACCAGCAAGAACCCAGCUGGCCAAGAAAUGGAAAGGCCUGUCCCUGUACAGUUUCCACUGGGAUCAAUGGAGGAAGUGGAGAAUUUUGAGGACUGGCUUAAAGAUCCUGCCAAUUCUCAGCUGAAGCAGAGGGUGAUUUCCUCCCUGGCAACCAUCGGGGGCCAUGACACAAAACGUGUUACAUGGAACAUCCUUGCCCACAUGUUCCAUGAUGAUGUUGGGAGGAGGAUAAAUUGGAAAGGGAUAAAUGGGGGAAAAAAAACCUUUCAGCCAGAUGGCAUCAAAGACGUUGCUCCUGAAUGCCGUGAGAAAGAGUGCCGUCUCCCGUGCAGCCACUGAUUCUGACAUUUCAAAGCACGCAAUACGGUGGUUCAACCUUGCUGCAGAUCGGGGGAGUUCGAGGAAGCGUGCCACUGUUGGCAUCCCUGCUGAGCCGACCGGUAUUUAACCCUCUGACUGUCUUUCAGAGGCUCUAGUAGGUUCAGGUUUAAGGCUAGAGUCAUGAGCUCAACAUCAACAACAGCCAAUCACAUUUGUUGCCUCCGUUGUUUUCAUACAGUUGAAUUUGCUGAUCCUCAUCAUCCUGUUAACCCUCUGAGACCCAACUUUACUGUCUUUCUGAGGCUGUAGCAGGUUCAGUUUUAGAGCUACA